GUCAGUAAUAUCCAGAUGAUUCAAUUUUAAAGGAAGUCUUCUGAGCACAUUAUAGAGUUGUGUUCUUGUCUGCCUUGACAGACACGUAACUAGCAGAUUUGGUUUGGGGGUAGAAGCGUGGCAGGCUUCAUGUAACAUCACCUUAAGAAAUGAAAAGAUACCAGAGUGACAGCAUUACUGGGGGUUGGUUUUUACCACACAGUGUCAUGAAUCAUAGAAUUGUUAAGGCUGGAAAUGACCUCUAAGCUCAUCUGGUCCAACCAACCAUCAACCCAACAUCACCAUCCCUACCGAGUUGCACUGGAACUACCUAUAGGGUAUGGAAAUGCAGUGGGGAUGGCAAGAGCUCCUUAACCCAGCUUUCCUACAAGAGAAAAUCCUCGAUGAAAUUAUGUUCCAAGUUCCCUGUUGAGCUGCUAUGUUUUUGAAAACACUAAUAUAUAAUUUAGAUUCCCUUUGUUGCAGCAUAAAUAGGAAAUGUGUGAAAUGAGCCGCACUGGUGCCAUGCCCAGAGCUGUCGGCCCGGAUCAGAACUGUGUUUCACCAAACAAAGUGCAGUUAUAGAAUGAAGAACACACAGACAGCUGACAAACCAGGGGUGAGACAGGAGACAGCAGAUGGAUCCCCAGGCAAGGAGAGCACACAAAGCGUCUUGUAUUUCAGAUCCCUGCAAAUAGUUUUCCGGAGUUUGAAAUGGUAAGCACAUGUUCUGCGAACACAGCCAAGCCGUGAUAAGGAAUUCAUCUGUCUGCCUCUUCAAGUUCCAUUUUGUUUCUGCAGCUUUUAUGAUUGAAAAUGCACAUUUCUCAUGGGCACUCACAGAACUGAAACAGCAUGAUUUGCAAGCUCGCUAAAUGGAUUUCUUCCAAGCAAGUCAUUGGGGUAGUGUGAUGUCACCGGAGGUGCUCUUCCUGCCCGGGCUCUCAGCCUGGUCCUGGCAGACUGUGCCCACAGUGGGGACACGUGGACCCUGCUGGGGACUCAGAUGUCACCGCCUGCUCGGUGUCCACUGCUGUGCCUGUCCAGUGCCCGCUGUGCCUCAUGCAUGUGCCCCGAAGAAGCACAGCUUCCAAAUGCGUGCUAAAAAAAGCAACGCAGGGUAAAAGGGAGGAGUUAUAAAUGAUACCAAAGCUAGAAGGAAGAUGGGGACAAGCAUGGGAUGAGUGUUGGCAGCAGAAUGGCUCUGUGCUUGGUCUGGAUCUGCAUGAGCAUGGGAGGUGCGUUGCUCUGCACCGCUCUCAUGAGCCCCUGCCUGUAGUACUACGCUCUGCUCUGGGCCUCCAGCUCAAGGAGAACAUGGGGCUGUUGGAGUGAGUCCAGAGGAGGCUCAGAGGGCUGGAACACCUCUUCUACAGAGUCAGGUGGUGGCCAGUCUGGAGAAAAGAAGGCUCUGGGAAGACCUCCUUGUGUCCUUCCAGUAUCUAAAGGGGCUGCUGAAAGCUGGGGGGGGG
ensembl:lncRNA